rnacentral:tRNA from 1 species
GGUUUGUGGCUCAGUGGUAGAGCGCGCUCGCCUAGCAUGUGCAAGGCCCUGGGUUCAGUCCUCAGCACCA